CCUACGUGAGGCAGCAGUGAGGAAUAUUGGUCAAUGGGCGAGAGCCUGAACCAGCCAAGUCGCGUGAGGGAGUACUGCCCUAUGGGUUGUACACCUCUUUUGUCGGGGAGCAAAAGCCGGACGUGUCCGGCUGUGAGAGUACCCGAUGAAAAAGCAUCGGCUAACUCCGUGCCAGCCGCCGCGGUAAUACGGGGGAUGCGAGCGUUAUCCGGAUUUAUUGGGUUUAAAGGGUGCGCAGGCGGAUUUUUAAGUCAGCGGUCAAAUCGUGGGGCUCAACCCCAUCCAGCCUGUGAAACUGGGGAUCCAGAGUGUGCGAGAGGUAUGCGGAAUGCGUGGUGUAGCGGUGAAAUGCAUAGAUAUCACGCAGAACCCCGAUUGCGAAGGCAGCAUACCGGUGCACAACUGACGCUCAGGCACGAAAGCGUGGGUAUCGAACAGGAUUAGAUACCCGAGUAGUC
rnacentral:rRNA from 1 species